rnacentral:rRNA from 1 species
CCCUUAGAUGUCCGGGGCUGCACGCGCGCUACACUGAAGGAAUCAGCGUGCUAAAACCAUUGUCGAAAGGCAUUGGUAAACCCAUUAAAAUCCUACGUGAUUGGGAUCGGGAACUGCAAUUAUUUCCCUUGAACGAGGAAUUCCCAGUAAGUGUGGGUCAUAAGCUCGCGUUGAUUACGUCCCUGCCCUUUGUACACACCGCCCGUCGCUGCCCGGGACUGAGCCGUUUCGAGAAAAGCGGGGACUGCUGCUGUCGGGGCUUUCGGGCCUUGGCUUCGGUGGAAACCGCUUUAAUCGCAGUGGCUUGAACCGGGCAAAAGUCGUAACA